rnacentral:lncRNA from 1 species
GACUGGACCACCAACAGAUAAAAGCACACAUAUGGGAAGAGGAAGUCCAGAUUUCAUGGCAUGUCAUAAGAAUGAAAAAGGACUUUAUUUGUGUGUGAUGUGUGCUUCCCACAAGACCUGUUACCAGGAGUAAGCUCUUAAUAAAUGGAUUGGAUAAAAGGUGAUAUCUGCUUCGCAAUUUCUUCCAGCCCUACCCCUUGCGUGGUGGUGAGAAAACUAACAGAGAUUGAAAGAAAAGUAUUCCAUUCUGCAAAGCCCUGAAAAUAGUCCACCAUUCAAAGUCAGCCUCAAAGCCUAUUGUCAUGACUAUAACAUUUUCUUCAUCAUCAUCAUCAUCAUCCUUUUCCUCCUCCUCAUCGUCAUUAUCUUUCUCCUCAAUUGAUUAAACCUCUUUGCUAUAGAAUCCAAUCCAUUUUGAAUUCUGUUGAUGGGGACUGGAUCAUCUCUAGUAUAGUGGACACUUAUCCUGAAGAAAGAAACAGGACCCUGUGGCCCAGGCUGAACUCUGGAUGAACUUCAUCUCCAAGAGGGUUGCAGAAUCCCCUUCUAGCUCCUAGCCUUCUCAGACCUUGGGGCAGCAGAGAAAGAAAGUCAGCACUAAAGGCUGUGUUUAGACAAGAUGCCACCACUCUAAACAAGAGUUUUACACAACAGACUGUUGUCUUAAAAAGGUUACGUUAUCUAAAGAGACAUUGCA